rnacentral:lncRNA from 1 species
GACAACUGUGUAACAUCCAGAGAGUCUUUUGAAUCUCCUCUCUAGAGACACGCAUAGGAUCACAAAACAAGGUGAGCAGUUUGCGGGCGGGUGUAUUCUCGCUGCACAUCUCUCCAGUUUGCUUCAAGAAAACAGUGUCAGGAUGUUGUGUGGGAGGAUGCUCCUCGGCGGAUGAGAGGGAUUACCAAAAAUGCAUUCUUAUUAUAAUCUUCAGGCUCAGUGACGGAUCCACUCCCACAGUAGCUAAAACGGGCUUCUUGCUGUUUACAGGCAGCGGCUGAAGGGAAAGCUGAGCCCUGGAGGAUGAAGCCGGUGCGUGAUGCUGGUGCAGAUGCAGAGGAAGAGGCCAGGGCCCGGCGUCAGACUCAGCUGGAGCAGCGCCAUCUAGAGGCGUACAGGAACCUGCACCGGCUCAGAGACGCGCUCUAUCGGCGCUACGCUGCCUUGCUCAAAGACAAGGUGCAGUCACAGAGGUUACGGCUACAGCAGAGGCACGAGGCAGCAGUAAGGAAAACAGAAGGAGACGCUAAGCAGAAACCAAAGAAGUUGUCCUUCUCCAAGCUGCAGCACAAUGACUCAUACCUGAAGUCCCUCCCCCAGACCCGCUAUCACCUGGUAUGUCUCUCCCUUGUACAGCUCGAUUUAAGUGACACAUUUGCAUCGUUCUUUAUAAAUACGUCACGUUUCUUCUCUGAGGUCCUCGACCUUCAGACCCAGUUGGCAGAGCAAGGUCAUCUGAAAACCCACCACGACUUGGAGGAAUUUUACAGAUGCAUCAAGUAUAACGACCACCCGUCAGAGCUGCAGAGGAGCCUGCAGGACGUCAGGACAAGCAGUUACGUCACACCUGUAGAUAUGUGCAUUGAUUUAUUCCUUAUGAGAUCAGGAUCAGCACUGUCAAAACGGUGCACGUGACUAUGUUGAUAUAUUGUUGUCAGUGCUGGGAACGAAGACACCGGAAAAAGCUCCCUGCACCGGUGAAGAGAGAGGACACACGGGGGACGUCUCCCAGAGCAGGUGGUUGUUUCACGAGCUCCACUAAGUUCAAUAAAUGUCCAUCCAGCGCUAAUCUGCGCA